rnacentral:rRNA from 1 species
UACGUAGGGUGCAAGCGUUAAUCGGAAUUACUGGGCGUAAAGCGUGCGCAGGCGGUUUUGCAAGACAGAUGUGAAAUCCCCGGGCUUAACCUGGGAACCGCAUUUGUGACUGCAUAGCUGGAGUACGGCAGAGGGGGAUGGAAUUCCGCGUGUAGCAGUGAAAUGCGUAGAUAUGCGGAGGAACACCGGUGGCGAAGGCGGCCACCUGGACGGAUACUGACGCUGAGACGCGAAAGCGUGGGGAGCAAACAGG